rnacentral:rRNA from 1 species
GGGAGGCAGCGAGUGGGGAAUCUUGCGCAAUGGGCGAAAGCCUGACGCAGCCAUGCCGCGUGAAUGAUGAAGGUCUUAGGAUUGUAUAAAUUCUUUCACCGGGGACGAUAGUGACCGUACCCGGAGAAGAAGCCCCGGUCUAACUUACGUGCCAGCAGCCGCGGUAAUACGAAGGGGGCUAGCUGUUGCUCGGAAUUACUGGGCGUAUCAGGGAGCGUAGGCGGACAUUUAAGUCAGGGGUGAAAUCCCUAGAGCUCAACUCUGGAACUGCCUUUGAUACUGGAUGUCUUGAGUGUCACAGAGGUAUGUGGAACUCCGAGUGUAGAGGUGAAAUUCGUAGAUGUUCGGAAGAACACCAGUGGCGAAGGCUACAUACUGGCUCAUUACUGACGCUGAGGCUCGAAAGCGUGGGGAGCAAACACGGACUUAGGAUACCCUUGGUUAGUCCACGCCGUA